rnacentral:rRNA from 1 species
CGCGUGCACUGGUUCGGCCGGGCCUUUCCCUUUGGGGAACCACAUGCCCUUCUCUGGGUGUGUCGGGGAACCAGGACUUUUACUUUGAACAAAAUUAGAUCGCCUAAAGAAAACCUAUGCUCGAAUACAUUAGCACGGAAUAAUAGAAUAGGACGUGUGGUUUUAUUUUGUGGGUUUUUAGGACCGCCGUAAUGAUUUAUAGGGACAGUCGGGGGCAUCAGUAUUCAAUUGUCAGAGGUGAAAUUCUUGGAUUUAUUGAAGACUAACUACUGUGAAAGCAUUUGCCAAGGAUGUUUUCAUUAAUCAGGAACGAAAGUUAGGGGAUCGAAGACGAUCAGAUACCGUCGUAGUCUUAACCAUAAACUAUACCGACUAGGGAUCGGACGAUGUUAUAUUUUGACUCGUUUGGCACCUUACACGAAAGUAAAGUUUUUGGGUUUUGGGGGGAGUAUGGUGGCAAGGGUGAAACUUAAAGAAAUUGAGGGAAGGGCACCCCCAGGGGGGGAGCCCGCGGGUUAAUUUGACUCAACACGGGGAAACUCUCCAGGUCCAGACACAAGUAGGAUUGACAGAUUGAGAGCUCUUUUUUGAUUUUGUGGGUGGUGGUCCAUGGCCGUUCUUAGUUGGUGGAGUGAUUUGUCGGCUUAAUUGCGAUAACGAACGAGACCUUAACCUCCUAAAUAGCCCGUAUUGCUUUGGCAGUACGCUGGCUUCUUAGAGGGACUAUCGG